rnacentral:lncRNA from 1 species
UAAAGAAGAAUUGAAGAAAGGUGUCAUUUCUCGUCAACCCUCCGUUAGACUCCAAGUAUUUGGUACUGUAAUGGUUAGUGGAUUCAGAUUCAUCCAAGAAAAAUGUUAGGUUAUGAUGAUGGUUCUACGUUAUUUAAUUUCUUCCUAAUUCCUAAAUAUUUUGGUCUGACGCUAGGCCGGUGAGUUUCUGAUGAUGCUUAUGUAGACUAUAUACCCAUUCAUAAUGUAAAACAAUAAUUCAUUGAUUUGAAUAUCAUGCAAUUUCGAAUAUAUAUACAGACAUAUAUAUACAUAACUGAAUAUUUUCAUACAAUGGUAAAUGCGGUAAUAUCCUCAAUUAAUACGUUAAUAUUAGAUAUAAAUUGGUUUUCAAAUGGAUUUAGAACUCUGACCAUUUGUGUCAAAUUAAGUGACCAUACGUUAAUUAACGGACAAAUCUCCAAAAUAGCAUCUUUCUAAGUUUAUAUCACAAAAAUAACACUCAAAAACUAAAAUGACCAAAAUAGCACAUUUCUAAGUUUAUCCCUUGAAAAUUUUAAUUUUUUUAUUUUUCAAAAUUUGAAAUCUUAUCUCC